CGCCGGGCUUGAGAGCUUGUGCUGCUCUAAUCCUUCCUUGGAUGUCUGAAACCUUCAUUCCUUCUAUAAGAUUUAACUUUUGCAGUUGUUAUUACUGCAUCCAUUGAUUGUAGAUGAGUUUUCUUUGGUGUUGGCAUGUUAUUGUAUUUUGCUGAAUUCUUUACUGAACUGCAAUGCUUUUGUUGAUGCUGAUUGUGAUAAGUUGCAUGGUUAUGGUAUAAUGUAACAUACGUGCAGAGCCAGCAAAUUGCAUCUUUUUUGAUAGAUGAUUGAGAAAUCCAAAAGCUCGUAUCUCAGAGCAUUUCAAGUGGCUGCCUUGGGGGUUUGAUUUCACCAGUCCUGAGAGUUUCUGCCACUUCAAUACUCACCUUAGAUGUCUGUAAGCGUAUGGCCAGAUGCCAUUUACUGUCUUGUAAGGGCAGCUUAUGUACUUCAUUGGGGCAGCUGUUCAAGUGAUGCCUGUGGAUUUGUCAUAUAUAUAUAUGAUCUGUGUAUUCUAUCAUUGAUUUUAAAAAGAUUGUUUCAUUUCAAGCUCUGUAGACAAUAGCAUUCCUUAGUAACAUGGUUGCUAGGAAGGUCUAAGGAGGCUGUGAUGUUUAUGGUGUGAUGUUAGUUGUAAUGGUAUGAAAUUCAUUUAUUUGAAUGUUGCUUAGAUCAUAAUGAAUGUGUUAUGAUCACCUCCAAGAUUUUGGUUUUAGU
rnacentral:misc_RNA from 1 species